GCUGGGUGCAGUGGGCGGUGCCUGUUGUCCCAGUUACUUGGAAAGCUGCGGCAGGAGUUCUGGACUGUAGUGCGCUAUGCCGUUUGGGUGUCCGCAUUGAGUUCAGCAUCAAUAUGGUGACCUCCCGGGAGCAAGGGACCACCAGGUGUGUCUCAGGAGGACGGGUGAACGAUCCAGGUCAGAAACAACAGGUCAAAUCUCCCAUGCCAAUCAGUAGUGGGAUUGUGCCUGUGUACUCCAGCCUGGGCAACAUAGUGAGACCCUGUCUCU
ensembl:misc_RNA Metazoa_SRP Metazoan signal recognition particle RNA